rnacentral:rRNA from 1 species
UAGGGAAUCUUCGGCAAUGGACGAAAGUCUGACCGAGCAACGCCGCGUGAGUGAAGAAGGUUUUCGGAUCGUAAAACUCUUUUGUUAGAGAAGAACAAGGACGUUAGUAACUGAACGUCCCCUGACGGUAUCUAACCAGAAAGCCACGGCUAACUACGUUCCAGCAGCCGCGGUAAUACGUAGGUGGCAAGCGUUGUCCGGAUUUAUUGGGCGUAAAGCGAGCGCAGGCGGUUUCUUAAGUCUGAUGUGAAAGCCCCCGGCUCAACCGGGGAGGGUCAUUGAAAACUGGGAGACUUGAGUGCAGAAGAGGAAAGUGGAAUUCAAUGUGUAGCGGUGAAAUGCGUAGAUAUAUGGAGGAACACAGGUGGCGAAGGCGGCUCUCUGGUCUGAAACUGACGCUGGGGCUCGAAAGCGUGGGGAGAAAACAGG